rfam:Oryza glaberrima chromosome 11 Oglab11_0028_12, whole genome shotgun sequence.
AAUAAGUUUUAGUAUUCAACGUUUAACCGUAUGUCUUAUUUGAAAAAUUUGUAAAAAAAUUUUAAAAGCUAAGUCACGUAUAAAAUACUAUUCAUAUUUUAUCAUCUAAUAACAACAAAAAUAAUAAUCAUAAAAAUAUUUUAAAUAAGAUGGAUGAUUAAAAUUGGGUACUAAAGCCCACAACUGCGCUUAUU